rnacentral:rRNA from 1 species
AUUGAACGCUGGCGGCAGGCCUAACACAUGCAAGUCGAGCGAGCGGCGGACGGGUGAGUAAUGUAUGGGGACUGCCCGAUAGAGGGGGAUAACUCCUGGAAACGGUGGCUAAUACCGCAUACUAUCGGAUAACCCAUAUGGGAUUAGCUAGUGGGUGGGGUAAAGGCUCACCUAGGCGACGAUCUCUAGCUGGUCUGAGAGGAUGAUCAGCCAAACGGGGAAUGAGAAAAGGCACAGACUCCGACGGAGGAAGCAGUGGGGAAUAGUGCACAAGGGGCGAAAGCCGGAUGCAGCCAUGCCGCGUGGAUGAAGAAGGCCUGAGGGGUGUAAAGUACUUUCAGCGGGGAGGCGUUACACGCAGAAGAAGCACCGGCUAACUCCGUGCCAGCAGCCGCGGUAAUAC